rnacentral:rRNA from 1 species
CCUACGGGUGGCAGCAGUGAGGAAUAUUGGUCAAUGGGCGGGAGCCUGAACCAGCCAAGUCGCGUGAGGGAAGACGGUCCUACGGAUUGUAAACCUCUUUUGCCGGGGAGCAACGGGGUCCUUGCGAGGGCCCGAUGAGAGUACCCGGAUAAAAAGCAUCGGCUAACUCCGUGCCAGCAGCCGCGGUAAUACGUAGGAUGCGAGCGUUCUCCGGAUUUAUUGGGUUUAAGGGUUGCGUAGGCGGGCUGUUAAGUCAGCGGUAAAAUGUCGGGGCUCAACCCCGGACUGCCGUUGAUACUGGCGACCUCGAGUGGGCGAGAGGUAUGCGGAAUGCGUGGUGUAGCGGUGAAAUGCAUAGAUAUCACGCAGAACUCCGAUUGCGAAGGCAGCAUACCGGCGCCCGACUGACGCUGAGGCACGAAAGCGUGGGUAUCGAACAGGAUUAGAUACCCUUGUAGUC